CGUUCACUCUAUCAUUAUUGCAAAGUUUAUCUAAAUUAAUGAAGAUGGUUUCUUCCUUGUUCAAAACACUGUUUCUUCUUGGGUUAAUUGCGUUGAUCGCCUUUGCCGUGCAGACCGCUCAAGUUGGUGCAGAUGCCAAGUUGAGGAAACUGAGCCAUUUACCAAGUCCACCACCUCCUCCAAAGGGAGCCAGCCCAAUUCAUCAGCUACCACCUCCAAAUGAGUAGUAGCUAGGCUAUAGAUUAGUCUUGUAUUAUCAACUCAUGUUAAUUAAUCCAAGUUUUUAAUCAAAGUGUGAGAGUUUCGGCUUUCCCUUGGCUGCCUCAAUUCAUAUUUGUUCCAUCCUUGUAAAGAAAGACAACACCAUUCUAUUUGUAAAGAAAGAAAUUACAACUAAAUUUAAUCAUGUCAA